AAUCGCUAAUAACAUUAUUAGAUUCUCUGAAAAAAGUGCCUAUAAUGUCUUUGUUUCAAAUGUGUAUCGUUUUUAAUAAGGAAGAUAUGAAUUGUUUAAGAUUUCGCUAAAAUCUCAACUUCUGUUUAUAAGUCGAAAACAAAAGACGAUAGCGAGAUGCGGUUUUGACCAAAAUUAUUCUUUUAAAAAACGGACCCGAAAAUGUCUUACUCGUUUUUCUCUAAACUUCUGAACGUACCGAGAUAUUAUCCUGUCCAACUGUAUGGACUUCACCGACAUAAUCAAGUUUUUUAACGAAAUGGCUGAACGACACAACGCUUCAGCCGUUCUGUCUCUGGCCAGAGAUUUGGUGCUCCAACUGCAACUGUUGAUUGAAAACAAGUAGAACUCGAUGUAGUGUCACUAUUUUACGUACUAGAUGGAGGAGAAAUCAAAAAUACCUCAUUAUUUUUAAAAUGUUAGGUCUCGGGCGAGGUGAUUGUUUCAUUAACCCAACAAAGCGUGCCAAAUGUUUCAGUUUUUGGAAAUAAUUGGUUAAAUGUGCUUCAUAUUUUUAUAUUAUUGUUGUUGCAUUGGCGUUUUUUUCGCAACGUUUGGAUUCUAAAGUGUUAACAGUUUGUAAGAUACGAUAUUUAUUUUGUUAAAAAAGAUAGUUUGUGUAAAAUAUUAAUAUACAUAUGAAUAUAUAUUUUAUAAAAAGUUAGGGAAGGUGGAAUUCAAUUCUAUAUUCUGUAGUUUAUACACUUAACAACAAACAACUAUUACCAAAUACAAAUAUUACAACGUCUUAACUUACCACUAUUUUCAUGUAUGAAUGUUUAAAUGUGCCUUUUUUAAGCAUCUUUCACCAGUAUUUUAUCCGUAUCAAGACGUAACAAAGUUCAAGCGGGACUUUAUUGCGAACAGUGCCAAAGCAGGCCCGCUUAGCUUUUUUAUCUGAUGAUUUAACGAAAUGUAAAUAGAACAUAUCAAUCUUCUUAUCUCAUGUUGUACCAAAUAUAGUAAUUAUUUAAUAUA